GGUGUUUACUGUCGAACUGAACACUCUACCGUUUACUGUCUGGUGGUGCUCUUCACCGAGUGUCACCAGUGGUCGGUACGUUUACUUUGAAAAAAUUAGAGUGCUCAAAGCGGUUUUUACACGACCGAAUACUGUUGCAUGGAAUAAUGAAAUAGGACUUUGGUUCUAUUUUGUUGGUCUUCGGAACCAAGGUAAUGAUUAAGAGGGACAGACGGGGGCAUUAGUAUUGCGACGCUAGAGGUGAAAUUCUUGGACCGUCGCAAGACUAACUAAAGCGAAAGCAUUUGCCAAGAAUGUUUUCAUUAAUCAAGAACGAAAGUUAGAGGUUCGAAGGCGAUCAGAUACCGCCCUAGUUCUAACCAUAAACGAUGCCAACCAGCAAUCAGCCUGUGUUCUCUUGAUGACACGGCUGGCGGCUUCCGGGAAACCAAAGUCUUUCGGUUCCAGGGGAAGUAUGGUUGCAAAGCUGAAACUUAAAGGAAUUGACGGAAGGGCACCACCAGGAGUGGAGCCUGCGGCUUAAUUUGACUCAACACGGGGAAACUCACCCGGCCCGGACACUGUGAGGAUUGACAGGUUGAAGCCCUUUCUUGAUUCAGUGGGUGGUGGUGCAUGGCCGUUCUUAGUUGGUGGAGUGAUUUGUCUGGUUAAUUCCGAUAACGAACGAGACCUUAACCUGCUAAAUAGAGAUGCGAACCUGCGUUCGUAAGCUCUUCUUAGAGGGACUGACUA
rnacentral:rRNA from 1 species